GAGUUUGAUCCUGGCUCAGAUUGAACGCUGGCGGUAUGCUUAACACAUGCAAGUCGAACGGCAGCAUAAGAGAGCUUGCUCUCUUGAUGGUGAGUGGCGGACGGGUGAGUAAUACGUAGGAAUCUAUCCAUGUAGCUGGGGAUAACUUGGGGAAACUCAAGCUAACACCGAAUACGCUCUACGGAGGAAAGAGGGGGACCUUUCGGGGCCUCUCACUAUUGGGUGAGCCUACGCCGGAUUAGCUUGUUGGUGGGGUAAUGGCCUACCAAGGCGACGAUCCGUAGCUGGUCUGAGAGGACGAUCAGCCACACUGGGACUGAGACACGGCCCAGACUCCUACGGGAGGCAGCAGUGGGGAAUAUUGGACAAUGGGGGCAACCCUGAUCCAGCAAUACCGCGUGUGUGAAGAAGGCCUGCGGGUUGUAAAGCACUUUCAGUAGGGAAGAAAAGCUGUUGAUUAAUACUCGACGGUCUUGACGUUACCUACAGAAGAAGCACCGGCUAACUCCGUGCCAGCAGCCGCGGUAAUAAGGGCGA
rnacentral:rRNA from 1 species